UAGGGAAUCUUCGGCAAUGGGGGCAACCCUGACCGAGCAACGCCGCGUGAGUGAAGAAGGUUUUCGGAUCGUAAAGCUCUGUUGUAAGUCAAGAACGAGUGUGAGAGUGGAAAGUUCACACUGUGACGGUAGCUUACCAGAAAGGGACGGCUAACUACGUGCCAGCAGCCGCGGUAAUACGUAGGUCCGGAGCUUUGUCCGGAAUUAUUUGGGCGGAAAAAGCGAGCGCAGGCGGUUUGAUAAGUCUGAAGUUAAGGGCUGGGGGCUCAACCUUAUUUCGUUUUGAAAACUGUCAAACUUGAGGGCAAGGGGGGAGAGGGGNUUUCCGUGUGUGGGGAAAAGGUGNNANNNUUUGAGGAACACCGGUGGGGAAAAAAGGCNGCUCUCUGGUCUGUAACUGACGCUGAGGCUCGAAAGCGUGGGGAGCGAACAGGAUUAGAUACCCUGGUAGUCCACGCCGUAAACGAUGAGUGCUAGGUGUUGGAUCCUUUCCGGGAUUCAGUGCCGCAGCUAACGCAUUAAGCACUCCGCCUGGGGAGUACGACCGCAAGGUUG
rnacentral:rRNA from 1 species